UACGUAGGGUGCAAGCGUUGUCCGGAAUUAUUGGGCGUAAAGAGCUUGUAGGCGGUUUGUCGCGUCUGCUGUGAAAUUUCGGGGCUCAACCCCGAACUUGCAGUGGGUACGGGCAGACUAGAGUGUGGUAGGGGAGACUGGAAUUCCUGGUGUAGCGGUGAAAUGCGCAGAUAUCAGGAGGAACACCGGUGGCGAAGACGGGUCUCUGGGCAGUAACUGACGCUGAGGAGCGAAAGCGUGGGGAGCGAACAGG
rnacentral:rRNA from 1 species